GUAUAGUUGAUCCAGAGUAGUCGUAGUGUCGUUGGAAUCAAGACACAUAUAGUGAAUGCAGCAAUCGGAUAAUUACGCAAGCUCGCUACAGAAAGGAUCACCGCAAAAUUAAACAAAUCGACCGCUUAAAGAGCUUCAUAUUGCGACACAACAACCACGUGAUCACCAGGAACGAUUCCGACAUUACGGUGCAAAACGGGAUCAUCUUGGAGACUUGGACCGCCACACUAGGUCUAGCAUCGACUCAUAUGCCAGACAAAUCACAGGCUCAACAUGAAUCCCUUUUGAUCACUUCGGUCACAGGAUCAGCUCGUAGGGUCUUAGCCCAAGCAAAUUGUUCGCGCACCCACAAGCACACAUAGAAGGCCUUCAUAAAGAGGACCUUUUAUUUACAGGCCAAAGCGUUGUUCAUCGUGGGGCAACAAUCCCCACUCAUCGACUUAGUCAACUACUAGAGGGCGCUGGAAAGGCGACACCUUGGACCACGUCACCAAGUUCCAGCGAACAAAUUCAGUGGCGUUUCUGUUAGCUGGUGAACAGGCGCGAGUCCUCCCGCCUUGAGAGGUCGGUGUGUGACACUCUAGGACUGUAGAGCACAAACUGCUGAUGCAGCAGCGCAGUGGUGCGAGGUAGUGCCACCGACGGCAAGGCCUGCCGGCGCGAUCGUGCAUGGCGCGACAGCAAAUCGACGGUAGCGGACAGCGUGCGGCAGACGCAGCAUCACGGGGCCCCCAACGAUCGUUUGAGUCAGCUGAAGUUCUCAGAUUAUACGAGACUACUGUAUGUAUAACCAAUAGAUUUAAGUACACAAUGAGUGUUUAUUUCUUAAGACGCCCACUCCCGUUAAGUUUAUCUUGAGUUGAGUUUUGUUCGAUCUUACAUUAACAAAGAGUCCUUAGUGUUUAGUGCGUGUUGCGCCUUGAUUGCGCCUUGAUCCACUUGUAUCGAGACGGACGAUUUCUCCCAGCCAGAGAGAAAAAUUGGAACAUUUUUCAAAUGUUCACUUGAUGGCAAGCCAUCGAGAAAUUCGAUUUUAUGUUCAGAGACUGAAUCAGACAACAUCUUCACCAUUUUGAUUUCACGCGAUACUUUUUCUAAUGACUUUCGGUUUCACGUAGAUGCUACGUGAUAAAUCAUGGUAUGUGUGUGAUGGUGUGACAUCCAAACAAUGGUUUGAUGCAGUACGGGUUUUCGAUAUCAGGUCCGAUUUUCGAAAUAAAUCCUAGUUGGCGGGUAGCUUUUGAGACAGUUAUCGCAUGGUGACGAUCAAAUGUCAGUUUUGGAUCGAGGGUAACGCCAAGAUCAUUCACGUAUUCAGCUCUUUUUAAUACUUGGCCAUCUAUUUAUCUAUUUAUAUAUCUAUGAAAAGUUAUUACAUCGCAUUAAGCAAUUCUGAUUGUCAGACAAUUUAAUCCACACAAAUACACAAACAUA